UACGUAGGGGGCAAGCGUUGUCCGGAAUUAUUGGGCGUAAAGCGCGCGUAGGCGGCUUUGCAAGUCGGGUGUGAAAUCCCCAGGCUUAACCUGGGAACUGCAUUCGAGACUGCAUUGCUAGAGUAUGGGAGAGGGAAGUGGAAUUUCCGGUGUAGCGGUGAAAUGCGUAGAUAUCGGAAGGAACAUCAGUGGCGAAAGCGACUUCCUGGACCAAUACUGACGCUCAUGUGCGAAAGCGUGGGGAGCAAACAGG
rnacentral:rRNA from 1 species